UGCGCCGCUUGGCAUACAUCUUCCUGCUGGCCACUCACAGGCCGGGGUGCUCGCCGCUCCCCACGGUUUCCAGGGGGACCCCUAGUGCACCAGCCCUUCUUGAGGUCACCACCUCUCUGCCAGGGUCAAGCUGCAGACUCCUCCGCCCCUGGGACCACUCGCUGCAAUCCCCCGGGGGACCCUGUUACUGCAAAGUCCUUCUCACUGGGCACACACUCCCAGGGGUUAACCACCCCUUCGUUUUACUGCUCCCCAGUCACUUACUGCAGGAAGUGCCGUCCACGGGGUGCAGUAUCUCCCGCCGCUGCCACCAGUUGUCACGGAGUGUGGGGGAGUCCGGCCCUGCACCCCUCUUCCUGGGACCCACAGUGACUCUUAGCCAGCCAGUAAAACAGAAGGUUUAUUGGACAACAGGAACACAGGCUACAGCAGAGCUUGCAGGCACAGUCAGGACCCCUCCACCGAGUCCUUCUGGGCUUUCAGGGUGCUUGGAUCCUAG